rnacentral:rRNA from 1 species
GACGAACGCUGGCGGCGUGCUUAACACAUGCAAGUCGAACGGAAAGGCCUGCUUUCCCUUGUGGAUUGCGGGUACUCGAGUGGCGAACGGGUGAGUAACACGUGAGUGAUCUGCCCCCAACUUGGGUAUAAGCCUGGGAAACUGGGUCUAAUUCCCGAUAGGACUGCAGGGUGGUGCCUGUGGUGGAAAACGAUUUUCUAGUGGUUGGGGAUGAGCUCGCGGCCUAUCAGCUUGUUGGUGGGGUAAUGGCCUACCAAGGCGGCGACGGGUAGCCGGCCUGGGAGGGUGGACGGACACGUUGGGCCUGAGAAACGGCCCAGAGUCCUACGGGAGGCAGCAGUGGGGAAUAUUGCACAAGGGGCGGAAGCCUGAUGCAGCGACGCCGCGUGGGGGAUGACGGCCUUCGGGUUGUAAACUCCUUUCGACCGCGAGGAAGCCACCUGGUUGGAAGGGUGGUGACGGUAGUGGUAGAAGAAGCACCGGCUAACUACGU